AACAAUUGCAGCCCAGUGAUCGCAUCAGCCUUUCUCAUGAUGGGGAUUACGGUUCAAAUUUUCUUCUUGGUUUCUGUUCUCUGCAACAAAACACUGCAAGACCACCAGAUCUUCAUUGCCACAUGCCAGCUGCUGGUACUAAGGAACAGGCUCCCAUCUUCACUGCCCUACCCACACGCAUCUGCGCCUCUGGUGCAGUGUGGGGUGGGUGGUGAGCAAAGAGCACCUCAGCAGGAAAACCUGGAUUUGUGUUCACCAACGGGAGAAGUGACACAUGGAAUUGAAGACAGCUUGGCAGCAAUGUAAAACUAGCCAUUGUAGCUAAAUUAUAGUUGCAUAAUUUUGAAAGAAUAGUGAAGUGACAUAGCUAUGCUACUGUAAAGCUGAAAGUUUCAGAAAGCUCUU